GGAAGUAAAAGUCGUAACAAGGUUUCCGUAGGUGAACCUGCGGAAGGAUCAUUAACGCGCAGGCCGGAGGCUGGCCCCCCACGAUAGGAAUCAACGUUCCAUCAGGGGUGUGCAGAUGUGCGCCGGUCUUACGCCCCAUUCUUGUCUACCUUACUCGGUUGCCUCGGCGGGCCGCGCUCUCCUGGGAGAGUCGUCCGGCGAGCCUCUUUGGGGGCUUUAGCUGGAUCGCGCCCGCCGGAGGACAGACAUCAAAAAAUCUUGGAAAGCUGUCAGUCUGAGCGUUAGCAAGUAAAAUUAGUUAAAACUUUCAACAACGGAUCUCUUGGUUCCGGCAUCGAUGAAGAACGCAGCGAAAUGCGAUAAGUAAUGUGAAUUGCAGAAUUCCGUGAAUCAUCGAAUCUUUGAACGCACAUUGCGCCCUCUGGUAUUCCGGGGGGCAUGCCUGUUCGAGCGUCAUUUCAACCCCUCAAGCCCGGCUUGUGUGAUGGACGACCGUCCGACCUCCUCUUUCGGGGGCGGGACGCGCCCGAAAAGCAGUGGCCAGGCCGCGAUCCCGGCUUCCUGGGCGAAUGGGCAGUCAAACCAGCGCCCUCAGGACCGGCCGCUCUGGCCUUCCCCCAAAUCUCUCUGAGAUAUUUUUUCAGGUUGACCUCGGAUCAGGUAGGGAUACCCGCUGAACUUAAGCAUAUCAAUAAGCGGAGGAA
rnacentral:misc_RNA from 1 species